rnacentral:rRNA from 1 species
AAUCAACGCUGGCGGCGUGCCUAACACAUGCAAGUCGAACGCGAAAGUCCCGCAAGGGAUGAGUAGAGUGGCAAACGGGUGAGUAACGCGUGGGUGACCUGCCUUCGAGCGGGGGAUAACGCUCCGAAAGGGACGCUAAUACCGCAUAACAUCCCGCCUUUGAACAGACGGAAAUCAAAGCUGGGGAUCGCAAGACCCAGCACUUGAAGAGGGGCCCGCGUCUGAUUAGCAGUUGGUGAGGUAACGGCUCACCAAGGCGACGAUCAGUAUCCGGCCUGAGAGGGCGGACGGACACACUGGGACUGAGACACGGCCCAGACUCCUACGGGAGGCAGCAGUGGGGAAUUGUUCGCAAUGGGCGCAAGCCUGACGACGCAACGCCGCGUGGAGGAUGAAGACCUU